GAGGGUGUAGCUCAAGUGGUAGAGUGUUUGGUUAGCACACACAAGGUCUUGGGUUCAAUCCCCAAUACCUCCU
rnacentral:tRNA from 1 species